GGAGAGCUGGCCGAGUCUGGUUGAAGGCAGCGGACCGCUAAUCCGCAGCAAGGGCAUCGCUCUUGCCGGGGGUUCGAAUCCCUCGCUCUCCG
rnacentral:tRNA from 1 species